rnacentral:rRNA from 1 species
GGGCAACCUACCUUAUAGUUUGGGAUAACUCCGGGAAACCGGGGCUAAUACCGAAUAAUCUAUUGUCCCUCAUGGGACAAUACUGAAAGACGGUUUCGGCUGUCGCUAUAAGAUGGGCCCGCGGCGCAUUAGCUAGUUGGUGAGGUAACGGCUCACCAAGGCGACGAUGCGUAGCCGACCUGAGAGGGUGAUCGGCCACACUGGGACUGAGACACGGCCCAGACUCCUACGGGAGGCAGCAGUAGGGAAUCUUCCGCGAUGGACGAAAGUCUGACGGAGCAACGCCGUGUGAGUGAUGAAGGGUUUCGGCUCGUAAAGCUCUGUUGUUAGGGAAGAACAAGUAUCGUUCGAAUAGGGCGGUACCUUGACGGUACCUGACCAGCAAGCCACGGCUAACUACGUGCCAGCAGCCGCGGUAAUACGUAGGUGGCAAGCGUUGUCCGGAAUUAUUGGGCGUAAAGCGCGCGCAGGCGGUUUCUUAAGUCUGAUGUGAAAGCCCCCGGCUCAAC